UGCUGUCAGCACCAUGCAACUCUCUGCCCGGAAGUGUUACCCGGCGCCCCGGAAGUAGUCCGUUACAGUACCCGGAAGUGGUCAGUUGGCCCCCUGAGCGGAGCUCGCACACCCGGCAGGGGGCGGAGCCGGGGCCCCGCGGCUCUCAGCAACCGAACCCACAUCGUACGUUAACCCGGGAGGGACGUUGAGGGGCGGGGCCAGGCCACCUAGUUAGUAUCUCUCCCCCCCCCUCAACGUCACUGCUGCUAUGGCAACGGCGAGCGUCUACCGGGAGGGGGCGGGGUUAGACAGCUGGCACGGGCUGUGUGUCAAUAACGGAGAACAUGGCGGCCCGAGUACACCCAAUACACCGAGCGGGAACCGGGAACACUGACACUAAUACUGUGUGUAUGGAGAGAGAGGGAGAGACAGUACACAUAGUCUGUAACAUGGAUACACAGUGUAUAGUGCGCACUGACACU